rnacentral:rRNA from 1 species
CCUACGGGUGGCUGCAGUGAGGAAUAUUGGUCAAUGGCCGUAAGGCUGAACCAGCCAAGUCGCGUGAAGGAAGAAGGACCUAUGGUUUGUAAACUUCUUUUGUAGGGGAAUAAAGGUCUCCACGUGUGGAUCUUUGCAUGUACCCUAUGAAUAAGCAUCGGCUAACUCCGUGCCAGCAGCCGCGGUAAUCCGGAGGUUGCGAGCGUUAUCCGGAUUUAGUGGGUUUAAAGGGUGCGUAGGUGGUGUUGUAAGUCAGCGGUGAAAGGUUGUGGCUCAACCAUAAAAUUGCCGUUGAAACUGGAAGACUUGAGUGUGUUUGAGGUAGGCGGAAUGCGUGGUGUAGCGGUGAAAUGCAUAGAUAUCACGCAGAACUCCGAUUGCGAAGGCAGCUUACUAAGCUAUAACUGACACUGAAGCACGAAAGCGUGGGGAUCAAACAGGAUUAGAUACCCUUGUAGUC